rnacentral:rRNA from 1 species
CACGUAGGGCGCAAGCGUUGUCCGGAAUUAUUGGGCGUAAAGAGCUCGUAGGCGGUGUGUCGCGUCGGCCGUGAAAACCCGCGGCUCAACUGCGGGCCUGCAGCCGAUACGGGGCAGGCUAGAGUUCGGUAGGGGAGACUGGAAUUCCUGGUGUAGCGGUGAAAUGCGCAGAUAUCAGGAGGAACACCGGUGGCGAAGGCGGGUCUCUGGGCCGAUACUGACGCUGAGGAGCGAAAGCGUGGGGAGCGAACAGGA